GGGCGCGUAGCUCAGCGGGAGAGCGCCUCGUUCACACCGAGGAGGUCACUGGUUCAAUCCCAGUCGUGCCCACCA
rnacentral:tRNA from 1 species